GACGAACGCUGGCGGCGUGCUUAACACAUGCAAGUCGAACGAUGAACCCGGAGCUUGCUCCGGUGGAUUAGUGGCGAACGGGUGAGUAACACGUGAGUAACCUGCCCUUGACUCUGGGAUAACUGCGGGAAACUGUAGCUAAUACCGGAUACGACCCUCGGCGGCAUCGCCAGGGGGUGGAAAGAAUUUCGGUCAAGGAUAGACUCGCGGCCUAUCAGCUAGUUGGUGAGGUAACGGCUCACCAAGGCGACGACGGGUAGCCGGCCUGAGAGGGUGACCGGCCACACUGGGACUGAGACGCGGCCCAGACUCCUACGGGAGGCAGCAGUGGGGAAUAUUGCACAAUGGGCGCAAGCCUGAUGCAGCAACGCCGCGUGAGGGAUGACGGCCUUCGGGUUGUAAACCUCUUUCAGGAGGGACGAAGGUUCAGGCGCGAAUAGCGUCCUGGACUGACGGUACCUCCAGAAGAAGCCCCGGCUAAC
rnacentral:rRNA from 1 species